UGCCUAAGCCUGACGCCAUGCUCGACUCUUCUUCUCCCCUCUUCCCUUCUUCUUCCCCCCACCCGAUCGCCUUCUCCCUACAUACAAGACCCCUCGACCAAGCUUGGAAGCCUCAAGCUGAUUCCUCCCGAUCCCUUUCCUCUACUCGAUCUCCUCCUCCUUGAGCUAGCGACACCGCCGACGCCCUCUAUGCCGAACGCCGAAGGUCACAGCCGAUGCCCUAGGUGUCGCCCUCUUCCUCUGCAACGCGCCGCCAUCGCACGGAACAACACCGGCCGCUUCCUCACUACGCCCUAGUUUCCCGACGCCGAUUUCUUCCUCUUUGCCGAGGAUUGCGUCACUGUCGUCCAUUGGGGACUCACACCCGAUCACUGCCGAUCCCACACCGUCGUCGAUCGCUACUCGUCCCCUCCAUCCGGCCGAGCCCUAGUUUCUUCACUGGUGCCAUAGAUCUGAUCUGCCCAUCUCCGACUACUUCGAUCGUUGAGGCGCAGAUCUGUUGUUGAUCUCUCGAGUAGGACAGACUAUCCAUUUCUUGCCGUCAGCGAUCACACUCAGCUUCGAUGCUACUGCUCGCCAUCGGUUAUUAUCACCGACUGUGCACCAUCUCCGGCUGUGGGACACUAGCGAUCACCUUAAAGAUUAGGAUUGGGAUUCGGGACGAGCACUUCGACAUAAAGGUUGAUUAGCUUGAUCUACAUUGGAGG